UACAGCCUCUAUAUACCAUUCCUUGGUGCCUCCUUGAAUUGAUGUUUUUCAGGAUAACCAUGCAGGAAUAAAGGGUUUACUCAGUAUAAAGUCUUGCUGACAUGAACAUGAUAAUCACAAGAAAGUGAAUAUAUUUCAUCACCUUCAGCAAUCUUCAAAAUACCAGAUUGGAAAAAGAAAGAAGAUUUGUAGCAUUGUAUUGAAUAUGCCUGAUUAAAAGUAUUAAUGGAUAAAUUGGUGUUUUUCUCUUUUCUUCAGAAAAUUUGAAAUCGGAGGCAAUGCUCAGAAUUUUAGAGAUUUUGUAGAAAGAGCUGAUGGGUCCCUUUAUCCUUUUG